AUUGAACGCUGGCGGCAGGCCUAACACAUGCAAGUCGAACGAGUGGCGGACGGGGGAGUAAUGUCUGGGAAACUGCCUGAUGGAGGGGGAUAACUACUGGAAACGGUAGCUAAUACCGCAUACCAUCAGAUGUGCCGAGAUGGGAUUAGAUUGUUGGUGGGGUAACGGCUCACCAAGGCGACGAUCCCUAGCUGGUCUGAGAGGAUGACCAGCCACACUGGAACUGAGACCAGCUCCAGACUCCUACGGGAGGCAGGAGUGGGUAAUAUUGCACCAUGGGCGCAAGCCUGAUGCAGCCAUGCCGCGUGUCUGAAGAAGGCCUUCGGGUUUUAACGUACUUUCAGCGGGGAGGCGUUACCCGCAGAAGAAGCCCCGGCUAACUCCGUGCCAGCAGUCGCGGUAAUUC
rnacentral:rRNA from 1 species